rnacentral:rRNA from 1 species
GAAAAUGAGAGUUUGAUCCUGGCUCAGGACGAACGCUGGCGGCGUGCCUAAUACAUGCAAGUCGAGCGAGCUUGCCUAGAUGAAUUUGGUGCUUGCACCAAAUGAAACUA